GAUGAACGCUGGCGGUGUGCCUAAUACAUGCAAGUCGAGCGAACGGACGAGGAGCUUACUCCUCUGAUGUUAGCGGCGGACGGGUGAGUAACACGUGGAUAACCUACCUAUAAGACUGGGAUAACUUCGGGAAACCGGAGCUAAUACCGGAUAAUAUUUUGAACCGCAUGGUUCAAAAGUGAAAGACGGUCUUGCUGUCACUUAUAGAUGGAUCCGCGCUGCAUUAGCUAGUUGGUAAGGUAACGGCUUACCAAGGCAACGAUGCAUAGCCGACCUGAGAGGGUGAUCGGCCACACUGGAACUGAGACACGGUCCAGACUCCUACGGGAGGCAGCAGUAGGGAAUCUUCCGCAAUGGGCGAAAGCCUGACGGAGCAACGCCGCGUGAGUGAUGAAGGUCUUCGGAUCGUAAAACUCUGUUAUUAGGGAAGAACAUAUGUGUAAGUAACUGUGCACAUCUUGACGGUACCUAAUCAGAAAGCCACGGCUAACUACGUG
rnacentral:rRNA from 1 species